UUGUGCUUCGGCACUGCUGUGCGGAUGAAUUAGAUGGUUUGAGGAAUCGCUAUGGUAGCCUACCUGUGAUCGCCAUAUCGCAGCGGAUCUACGCUACAUCAAGCCUCGCUGAUAGCAAGACGAUUUUUCAACGAAACUUAUAUCAGGAACAUGAUAUUUGAGCAAGCCCCACCCCCAUUGAUCUCUGGAGUGUCAGCGGUGGUCUGGAUUAAGAAGAAAGUCUUUUAACCUGGAUGGGGCAUUACAUCAUCAAAGAGCUCCCCAGGCCUCAUUGGCCAAAUAUGGUACAGGGCUCUGUACUUUUGAAAGACUGCCAAUGGAGAAGAUGCUUCUUAAGCCCAAAUGGUGUAGUUACAGAGUCUACCAGCAGAGGCUAACUAGACCAUACUAACCAGCUAAACCAUCCACCUUCAAUCUCUGAAGGCUUGGGUGGAGGCAGCAGACAAGGUGUCUCCCCUCCCCUGAAGCCCUCCUCUCCCCUGCCUGCUUACACACGGGAAUGGAUCACGAUGAUUAAUCUCACAAAAAUAAAACACAAUUUUUGCACACAGAA